rnacentral:rRNA from 1 species
AGUAAAAGUCGUAACAAGGUUUCCGUAGGUGAACCUGCGGAAGGAUCAUUAACGAGUUUUGAAAUGGGUUGUAGCUGGCCUUUGAAAAAAUAGAAGGCAUGUGCACGCCCUGCUCAUCCACUCUCAUACCCCUGUGCACUUAUUGUAGGCUUGGGUGGGAUGAUCAACUGUAAGGUUGGUUUGAAAGCCUUUAGUCUAUGCUUUAUUACAAACUCUACAAAGUCAUAGAAUGUCACAUUAGCGUAUAACGCAAUAAAUACAACUUUCAGCAACGGAUCUCUUGGCUCUCGCAUCGAUGAAGAACGCAGCGAAAUGCGAUAAGUAAUGUGAAUUGCAGAAUUCAGUGAAUCAUCGAAUCUUUGAACGCACCUUGCACUCCUUGGUAUUCCGAGGAGCAUGCCUGUUUGAGUGUCAUGGUAUUCUCAACCUUUAAAGCUUUUUUUAAUCAAAAGGCAAUGAAGGCUUGGAAUUGGAGGUUUGUGUUGGCGCAAGUCAACUCUUCUGAAAUGCAUUAGUGUGAACCUUUACGGAUCACUGUCAGUGUGAUAAUUAUCUACACUGUGGUGUUGAAGUAUAUACAUGGUGUUCAUGCUUCUAACUGUCCUUUAUUGGACAUUGAUUUUUGACAAUCUGACCUCAAAUCAGGUAGGACUACCCGCUGAACUCAAGCAUAUCAAUAAGCGGAG